GCCAAGUGUUUGCCUGCUGACCCACCCCACCUGCUCUGUCCUGUUCAAGCCCAGGGAGAGACCCCAGCUUAAUCCGCAGUCUGGGAGGGGACAAGGCAGUGUGCACUGCCUUUGCCCAGGCCAGCUGUAGAUGGAGAAUGAAGAACAGACUCAACAUGGUGUGGAGGCCUAGAAGGGACCAGCUGGUCUGCUGCAUGCGGGCUUCUGACAUCACUGUUGCCUGCGUCCUCAGACCCCACAGCAUGGACUUGGAACAGAUGGGAAAGUGGGGCCGGAGUUCCACACAGUUUGGCAAGUCCCUGCCUCUUUAUGAUGCCACCUCCUGCCUGGAGUACAUGAAGAUCCACAGGCCAGGCAAGCACUGUGCCACUGAGCUAUAUCCCUGGCCCUAAGGGAACAGCUUUCUUUCACUUGCCUGCCUGCUCUCUUGGAGAAUCUCCAGGGAAGAAGUUGAAUCACAUGAAGUUCUUCCUUCCAAUUAGAAGCCUUGGCAUAAAGAAUAUGUUGAACUAUGUUUAAUGAAAAAAAUGAGUCUUUCCAAAUAA